rnacentral:rRNA from 1 species
UACGUAGGGUGCGAGCGUUGUCCGGAAUUAUUGGGCGUAAAGAGCUCGUAGGCGGUUUGUCGCGUCGACUGUGAAAACCUACAGCUUAACUGUGGGCUUGCAGUCGAUACGGGCAGACUUGAGUUCGGUAGGGGAGACUGGAAUUCCUGGUGUAGCGGUGAAAUGCGCAGAUAUCAGGAGGAACACCAAUGGCGAAGGCAGCUCGCUGGGACGGUACUGACGCUGAGACGCGAAAGCGUGGGGAGCGAACAGG